GGCAUCCACGUGUGCUUCACCG
rnacentral:miRNA from 1 species